rnacentral:rRNA from 1 species
ACACGUAGGGCGCAAGCGUUGUCCGGAUUUAUUGGGCGUAAAGAGCUCGUAGGCGGUUUCGUAAGUCGGGUGUGAAAACUCAGGGCUCAACCCUGAGACGCCACUCGAUACUGCGAUGACUUGAGUCCGGUAGAGGAGUAGGGAAUUCCUGGUGUAGCGGUGAAAUGCGCAGAUAUCAGGAGGAACACCAGUAGCGAAGGCGCUACUCUGGGCCGGUACUGACGCUGAGGAGCGAAAGCAUGGGGAGCAAACAGGAUUAGAUACCCUAGUAGUCC